AACAAAAUACUAGGUUUUUUCCAAGGAAAAACAAGUGGGCUGGCUGCUUAAAGAGAAAGUGCAAAGAAAGAAAGCAAAAGUUAGCAGCGUGCAUAUAUUCAGAAAGCAGAUGCAAAGCAGUGAGCAUUAAAAGCCAAGUGUGGAACUGCUGACAAGACAUGGACACUGUAUCCAGCAAUUUCACUGCUCUGGUGGAGAAGGUCUACUCAUUCUUCUGGGGGACAAGCAGCAGUUCAACAGCCAAUCAGAAUCAGACAGAGCCAUCAGAGAGCUGUAAUGAAAGUGACAUCCCAGUCACAAAACCUGCUGAAACAUUGGUGUCUGAGGUCCAGGAGGUUAGCAGUCCUGUACAAACCACUGUAAAUGCACAUUCAGGUCAUUAUGAUCAUCCACACAUCCCGAUACAGAACUCAAACUCAUUCAGUGAUGCUGAUGAAACUGCUGAAGUGGACAAGAUCAACAUCAUUGUGAAAUGUGCUGGGAAAACCACGGAAGUGGACAUGUUUCCCAGGGAAAGCAUCUCAGUUUUACUAAAGGAGGCCUGUGACCGGGCAGGGAAGAAACCAGAGAAAAUGAAACUGGUUUAUGAAGGAAACUGUCUGGAUGUGAACAAGACAGUGAGCUGCUAUGGACUACGAGGAGGAACCACCGUAAAUUUGAUUCAUGCCUAGAAUCAUGUUUCUGUUUACAGUAUACCAGUACAGUACUGUACAUAAAAUAUUGUUCAAACUCAAAUAUAUUAUUAGUAGUAGUAGUUGUAGAAGUAAUAGUAGUAGUAGUAGUAGCAGUCAGUGCUCAUGGGUUAUUGUUAAAAGUAUUGCAUUGCUGUGUACAGUCUCAAAUACAUUGUAAUAUAUAAAAAAUAAAACUGACUUGCAACACUGACUCACAUAUAUGAGUUCAAUCAGACAGCAUUUUUUACUGAUAUUGGGACACUUUAUGGCUGAUAACAUAUUGAUUAUUAUACAGACAGCAAUAACCUCAACUGAUUGCCUAUGUAAACUAUGCAUAAUUAAUAUAGUGAUUACUGAAUUUGAUCCUACUGUUUUAAAUAUAUUAAAGCACUUUAAGUGUUUUUACAAUGUUUGACUCACUGUUUAAUGAUUGAAAUAUUGCCGCGGGUGCUUAAUAUGGAUUGCAAAUGGCCAAAACUUGCAUUUUGUUUUAUUAUGUUUUAUUGAGAGAUGAUGUAAAUAUUUGCGGCUGUAAAACAGAUGAAAAACUGAGAGGCUUGUGCUGCAGUUCUAUGGAUGCUUCGAGCCGGUCACGUGACUGAAAGCGAUCAAUAGCGUUCGAGUGCUGUUUGUAACGGAGCAUUUCAUUGGUUAAACAGACGGAACAGACACGCCUCUUUCACUGAACUAGCCGUCUAACUAGAGGGCAUGUUGUUCUUUUAGGUCACCGUGUUAACAGCAUUUAUUUAAAAUAGAAAUCUUUUCUAACAAUAUACACUACCGUUCAAAAGUUUGGGGUCGGUACAUUUUUAUUCUAUCUUUUUUUAUUCAGCAAGGAUGUGUUAAAUUGAUAAGAAGUGAUAGCAAAUAUUUAAAUUGUUAGGAAAUAUUUAUAUUUUGAAUAAAUGUUGUUCUUUUUGAACUUUUUAUUCAUCAAAGAAUCCUGAAAAAAGUAUUGCAGUUUCCAAAAAAAAUAAAAUAAAUAAAUAAAUAAAUUUGGCAGCACAACUGUUGCCAACAUUGAUAAUCCUAAUAAUAAAUCAGCAUAUUAGAAUGAUUUCUGAAGGACCAUGUGACACUUUAUACUGGAGUAAUGGCUGAUGGAAAUUCAGCUUUGCAUCACAGAAAUAAAUAAAUUCUAUUUUAAAGGUUAUUAAAAUAGAAAAAAAAAUAUUUUAUAUUGUAAUAACAUUUUGCAAGAUUACAGUUUUUUAAUCAAAUAAAUGCAGCCUUCAUGAGCAUAAGAGACUUCUUUAAAAAACAUUACAAGUCUUAUUGAUCGCAAAACUUUUGAAUGGCAGGGUAUUUGUAAAAGCUGCAUUAUUUGGAAAUGACUUUGUUACAGUUACAACUAAAAUUGUGGCCCGUUCCUCAGACAAACCUGUAGAUUGAAUACAAUUAAAAUUUAAAAUUGCAUCAUACUGGACAAACUACUUGUACCUUUAAAAUACUAUUUGUUUUCAAAGGGAAAGCCCGUAUGUUGGCUGGCUGCUAAAAGAGAAAGUGCAAAGAAAGAAAGCAAAAGUAAGCAGUGGUAUAUAUAUUAAGCAAAAGCAGUGAGCAUUAAAAGCCAAGUGUGGAACUGCCGACAAGACAUGGACAUUGUAUCCAGCUAUUUCACAGUUCUGGUAAGUUACUCCAAUUGAAUCUUGAAAAUUUGCUGUAUUCGUUGUACUGGAUUUAACGAUGGUAAAAUGUGUAAAACAGUGCUGAGAGUAUAUAGUGGUAGCUAAAAGCAUUAUCAGAUUAGAUAAAAAUGUUAACAUUUGACCUUUUUAUUUUAAGAUUUAUUUUGGGCCUUUAAUUUAAUAGGAUAGUGUAGAGAGCACAUGAAGCGAAGUGGCGCCGACAACAUUUGACCUUUUACUUACAAAAUAAAACAAACUUAAAGAGAUACUGAAGGAACAAAAGUCAUAACACUUUAGAUUAGGGAUCACAUAUAAACUAUUAGCCUAACUAAGAGUUUCCCUCGAUAAACUCCUAACAACUGCUUAUUGAUAUUAAUAAGGUAGUUGUUGAAUACAGUCAUCCAGAAUAAGGCAUUAAUAUGUGCUUUAUAAGUACUAAUAAACAGCCCAAAUUCUAGUAAUAUGCAUGCUUCUAAGCAACUAGUUAAUAGUGAAUAGUAUUGAAAAUAACUUAAACAUCUUCAAACUUAUAGCAAUUACAGUAUAAUAAGGAAAAAUAAACACGGGUUGCAUGCACAAGUUGCAGGAAUGUGUAGAAUUUGUACAACCGAUGUAUACAUGCAGAUUGACAACUAAAAGUUUUUAUUUAUCGUCUUCUCAAUAACAUUUUGAUAUUUACUCUGAAUACAAUGGCAACAAUGAAAACAACUAACUAGGUUAGCUGAUUGCCUUAAAAGUCCAUAGAUAUUGCCAUAAGUGCAUACUGCUGUUAAUAAGAUGUGAUGAACCUGUUUUAUACUAGAUUAGAACCCUUUUCAUUCAUAUGAAUAUUACUUUGUCUGGUAAUGUGCUUUAAAGGUGGAGAAGAUCUACUCAUUCUUCUGGGGGACAAGCAGCAGUUCAACAGCCAAUCAGAAUCAGACAGAGCCAUCAGAGAGCUGUAAUGAAAGUAAGAUAAACAUCCAGCUUAUCCAGUUCAUCCACUUGUAACUCAUUAUAUUUAGUGGUUGUUUUGUACAUAUGUAACUGGGCGACAGAGACAUGAGACAUGCGGAUCCAUCUGCAUGCUUCUAUUUAAAGGCGUGCUCAUGAAACAGACACGAGUCGAUACACAGCAAACAGUAAUAGAAGAGGCAAGGUGAAGAGUAAUCAAAAGUGGGUCUGAGAUCAGGCGAACAAAGUCCAGA
ensembl:lncRNA